rnacentral:misc_RNA from 1 species
AAGUCGUACAAGGUUUCCGUAGGUGAACCUGCGGAAGGAUCAUUACAAAUCUUGAGUUGGUCCUCUAGUGGGGCUGACACAUUCCCGCAAGGUCUUGAUGUUUACGCUUGUAUGUUUGACAGAGUUAAAUUGUGACGUUAAAAAUGACAACUUUUAACAACGGAUCUUGGCUCUU